rnacentral:lncRNA from 1 species
CCACCGCCUUCUUCCACCUAUAUAAACCCCCUUAAACGAUUCAAGAAAACACACAGUUUAAGUUUAUUGAGCCAUUUCUACUUCUCAGCCUUGAUAACUUUUGAGUUAAUACACACAAUACAAUGGAAAGCUUAAAGGGUGUUUUGAUGGUUUUAGCAAUUAUGGCAACUUUGUCUGCUGUAAUGGCCCAAGAAGUGUCGGCACCGGCCCCGUCGCCGGAUGAGGGUGCGGGAAACCUCUUGCCAGUUUCAGGGGCUAUACUAUGUUCUUCAUUGGUGGUGUCCCUGUUGGCCCUCAUCAAGAACUAGAUCAGUUAUCUAUCAUGUUCAGACUCGAUUCUUACACGGGGAUUGGAUUCUUCUUUUCCUUUUUGUGGGUAUUUUUUAGUCAUUAUAUAGUGAUGUUAUAAUUUUUUAUUAUUCAUAUUUAGGUUAGAUAUAGAGGAAUAAAAGUGAUCUUAUAGUUGUAUUCUAUUGAUACUUGUUGUGUAGUUGCAUCUGUAUUUGUUAUUCAUUCGUGUAUUUGUGUUUGUCACCAUCAUAUUUUUAAUUCUCGAUUCUAGUUUGUGGAAUUCAAUUUAAAUUUUUAGUUCUAAAGUUU